UGAAGUAAAUGACCCAUCCCUUGAUCAACGGAACAAGUUACCCCAGGGAUAACAGCACAAUCCUAUUUGAGAGCCUAUAUUGAAAAUUAGGGUUUAUGACCUCGAUGUUGGAUCAGGACAUCCAAAUGGUGCAACCGCUAUUCAAGGUUCGUUUAUUCACAGAUUAAAGUCCUAUGUGAUCUGAGUUCAGACCAGAGAAAUUCAGGUCGGUUUCUAUUU
rnacentral:ncRNA from 1 species